rnacentral:rRNA from 1 species
UGGGGUGCAGCAGGCGCGAAAACUCUGCAAUGCUGGAAACCGUGACAAGGGAACUGUGAGUGCCCGUUAAAUCGGGCUGUCCAUCGGUUUAAAUAACCGGUGAAGAAAGGGCCGGGCAAGACCGGUCCCAGCCGCCGCGGUAAUACCGGCGGCUCGAGUGGUGGCCACUAUUACUGGGCUUAAAGCGUUCGUAGCUGGUUUGUUAAGUCUCUGGGGAAAUCCUCCGGGUUAACCGGAGAGGUGUCUCAGGGAUACUGGCAGACUAGGGACCUGUAGAGGUGAGAGGUACUCCAGGGGUAUGAGUGAAAUCCUGUAAUCCUAGGGGGACCACCUGUGGCGAAGGUGUCUCACCAGAACGGAUCCGUCAGUGAGGGACGAAAGCUGGGGCGAGCAAACCGGAUUAGAUACCCGGGUAGUCCCAGCCGUUAACGAUGCGCGUUAGGUGUAUCGGUGACCACGAGUCACCGAGGUGCCGAAGAGAAAUCGUGAAACGUGCCGCCUGGGAAGUACGGUCGCAAGGCUGAAACUUAAAGGAAUCGGCGGGGGAGCACAAGGGCGAAUUGGCG